UACAGAGGUGCUCAAGCGUUGUUCGGAUUCAUUGGGCGUAAAGGGUGCGUGAGGUGGCGCCAUAAGUCGGGUGAGAAAUUCGGAGCUUAACUCCGAAACUGCAUUCGGAUACUGUGGUGCUUGAGGACUGGAGAGGAGACUGGAAAUUCAUGGUGUAGCAGUGAAAUGCGUAGAUAUCAGGAGGAACACCUGGUGGCGAAAAGCGGCUCA
rnacentral:rRNA from 1 species